GACGAACGCUGGCGGCGUGCUUAACACAUGCAAGUCGAACGGGACGGCCCUGCCUUGUUGGGGUGGUCUAGUUGCGAACGGGUAACUUGCCCUUGAGUUCCCUGCCCUUGACUUUGGGAUGAGUUCAGGCCGCUGGGUGUAAUAGGGGCUAGGAGCUCUCGCUGUUUGGUGGGGGCUGGAUAGUUUCGGUGGUUGGGGAUGGACUCGCGUCCUAUGAGCUUGUUGGUUGGGUAGUGGAUUAGCAUGGCUUUGACGGGUAGCCGGCCUGAGAGGGUGACAGGCCACACUGGGCCUGAGAUACGGCCCAGACUCCUACGGGAGGCAGCAGUGGGGAAUAUUGCACAAUGGGCGGAAGCCUGAUGCAGCAACGCAGCGUGCGGGAUGACGGCCUGCGGGUUGUAAACCGCUUUCGCCUGUGACGAAGCGUGAGUGACGGUAAUGGGUAAAGAAGCACCGGCUAACUACGUG
rnacentral:rRNA from 1 species